rnacentral:rRNA from 1 species
GGGGAAUAUUGCGCAAUGGAGGGAACUCUGACGCAGCGACGCCGCGUGAAGGAAGAAGGCCUUCGGGUUGUAAACUUCUUUGAUCGGGGACGAAAAUGACGGUACCCGAGGAACAAGCCACGGCUGACUACGUGCCAGCAGCCGCGGUAAUACGUAGGUGGCGAGCGUUGUCCGGAAUUACUGGGUGUAAAGGGCGUGUAGGCGGGGCGUCAAGUCAGGUGUGAAAUUCCGAGGCUUAACUUCGGGUGUGCAUCUGAAACUGAUGUUCUUGAGUGUCGGAGAGGAAAGUGGAAUUCCUAGUGUAGCGGUGAAAUGCGUAGAUAUUAGGAAGAACACCAGUGGCGAAGGCGACUUUCUGGACGAAAACUGACGCUGAGGCGCGAAAGCCAGGGGAGCGAACG